ensembl:lncRNA
AUGACCCUCUCAUUAAACCAUAGGGCUUGUCUGUUAGGUCUUGCCCAUACACACACACACACACAUAACACACAAAACACACUUUCAAAACACACACACAGAAACACAUGGGUGCAGAGACAAAGAUGCAAAGGAUCCCAUUAUCUUGGUAGACACAAGACACAUCCACAAGUACCAACGCACACAGUCACUCACAGAACGGCAUAUGUGCUCUUGCACACACUAAUUUAACAAAGGCUAAGUAUACGUCAAGACACAUGGUGUUUUGUGUGUAUGCGCAGGCUUGUCUUUCUGUGUGUGUGUGUGUGUGUGUGUGUGUGUGUGUGUGUAUGUGAGCGCUUCUGCAAUCUGCACAAGAGAUGUCAUUGUCUUCCGAGAUUCUCUCCAUUGCUGGAAUCAAUAGGCAUUGUUUGUGUUGCGCACAUAAGCAACAAACUGUCUCUUUCCCGUUGAAACGUUGGCCAAUCCACUGACCCACCAAUCCGUUUAAACUAAUCACUAGAGACAGGUAAUGGGUCAUUUGGAAUAAUUAUGACGGGGGUGCAAUGGAUAAUUAUAGAGAUGGUGAUGAUGACGAAGGUGAGAGACCCAUUUGACUGUGACUGCAGAUAUUAAUUUCUUAUUAAUUUCUCUGAUCACUCUGCUGUGACUUCUAGUGUAUGUGAGCCUCACCUAUUAAAAAAACCUCAAAUAAUAAGCAUGUAUAGCAGACCACAGACCUUCUUGCCCAUUGCGGGAGUGAGAAUCUUUGAGUUUUAGAAAAGCGCUAUCUAAAUCAAUGAUAUUCAGAUUAUUAUUAUAGUGAUCCAGCUGUUUGCUUUGCAUCCAGGUCCCUUCUGCUCGGCAUGGGCAUUGCGGUUCACUCCUCAGGCCUCAAUGGGCAGCAGUCGGAAACGCUUUUGUCCAGAAGGCACAGUACCGUCUGUUGGUACUGGUUGGUACAGUAUCAACGUGUGUGUAUGUGUGUGUGUGUGUGUAACGGUAUAUGCGUGUGUGCUUGUGUGUGCGUGUGUGUGUGGGUUUGCAUUUGUGUCAUUUGCGCAAGCAUGUAUGUCUAUAGAUGAGGGUCAGAGAGGACAGUGCCGGGAGUGUGAUAUGCGGUGUUGCAUUUCGCUCUAUAUGCCCGCAAACCCCCUGACCUUUCUCAGCUCAUUGUCACUCUGGCCCCACCUCGCAGUCAAUAUGCUUCGGCUGUUUCUUUUCCUUGGGUGAGGGGAGGGGCAAGCAGAGGGCUCUCACCCACAGUCUAUUCAUCUGGAAAUACAAAUCUUAGUCCAGCUUUUACAGCGGGAGGUUGCUCCGCAGUGCCUCCUGUAACAUCCCCGUGAAAUGCUUUGCCGGGCCAAAACAAAGUCGUUUCUCAGGCAGCCUUAUCUCCAGGGUGAGCACCACACCCUCUUUCUGGUUUUCCUGACACAGCUUUUUGCAAUUAGUCAGACUUGACAACUCCUACACCACCCCACCGUAACAACUAGCCUCCACAUCGCUGUAACCUUCCAUCAGGUUAGGCGCGCGUUCCCAACACAACACUGCCACCACAGCCAGAGCCACCACCACUUUGUGUGCCCAAGGAUACCUCAUCAAAUCUGAACAACGUCCAUAACGUGCACAUUUUGUGCGCAGGCGGCACUUUUGGGCAGAGGUGAGCGCUGCACUCUGACAGUGUUUGUCCCAGCGUCGCCAUCGACCUGGCCAAUAGAGAUCGGCCAGGUGACUCAUUACUCCCUUCCCCCCAUUAAAAAGGACGGAAGUCAUCCAGUCGUUGCUUGCUCAUGUCGGGCAUUCGUUUGUGCUUGUCGGGCGGCCAGAUUUGCGGGGCUGUACUCCUGAGCCACGUGGCCCAUCUGAGCUCAUGAUGGCGCCGCUGUGAUGCUCCUCGCUGUGUUCCCUGUUCACAUGACCUUAGUGGUCAAAAGAGAAGACGAGACACCAUCUUCUCGGCUUACCUCUCUCUCAAUGUCUUGUCUCUGUCAAUGCCUCACUUUCAUGGUCUCUACUUCAAACCCUCUCCUGUUUCUCUUCCUAUAUCUUCUCUUCUACAUUCUUCUCACCUUGUCUCUCU